rnacentral:rRNA from 1 species
GACGGAGGCUGCAAGCGGUGCUCGGAAUUACUGGGCGUAAAGAGCGUGUAGGCGGUCUGAUAAGUCGAGUGUGAAAGCCCGAGGCUCAACUUCGGAAGGGCACACGAAACUGCCAGGCUUGAGUACGGGAGAGGGAAGUGGAAUGCCUGGUGUAGAGCUGAAAUUCGUAGAUAUCAGGAGGAACACCGGUGGCGAAGGCGGCUUCCUGGACCGAUACAGACGAUGAGACGCGAAAGCGUGGGGAGCAAACAGG